rnacentral:rRNA from 1 species
GACGAACGCUGGCGGCGUGCUUAACACAUGCAAGUCGAACGAUGAACCGGAGCUUGCUCCGGGGAUUAGUGGCGAACGGUGAGUAACACGUGGGCAACCUGCCCCAGACACCGGGAUAACCUUCCGAAAGGAUGGCUAAUACCGGAUACGACCACUUCGGGCAUCCGACGGUGGUGGAAAGGAUUCUGGUCUGGGAUGGGCCCGCGGCCUAUCAGCUUGUUGGUGGGGUAAUGGCCUACCAAGGCGACGACGGGUAGCCGGCCUGAGAGGGCGACCGGCCACACUGGGACUGAGACACGGCCCAGACUCCUACGGGAGGCAGCAGUGGGGAAUAUUGCGCAAUGGGCGAAAGCCUGACGCAGCGACGCCGCGCGAGGGACGAAGGUCUUCGGAUUGUAAACCUCUUUCAGCAGGGACGAAGCGAAAGUGACUGUACCUGCAGAAGAAGCACCGGCUAACUACGUGCCAGCAGCCGCGGU